rnacentral:rRNA from 1 species
CAAUGGCGGUCGGCGAGGUGCUGCAUGGUUGUCGUCAGCUCGUGCCGUGAGGUGUCGGCUUAAGUGCCAUAACGAGCGCAACCCCUGCCGGUAGUUGCCAGCGGAUCACGCCGGGGACUCUACCGGGACUGCCAGCGCAAGCUGCGAGGAAGGCGGGGAUGACGUCAAAUCAGCACGGCCCUUACGUCUGGGGCGACACACGUGUUACAAUGGCCGGUACAGAGGGCAGCCACCCCGCGAGGGGGCGCGAAUCUCCAAAGCCGGUCGUAGUUCGGAUCGGAGGCUGCAACCCGCCUCCGUGAAGCUGGAUUCGCUAGUAAUCGCAUAUCAGCCAUGAUGCGGUGAAUACGUUCCCGGGCCUUGUACACACCGCCCGUCAAACCAUGGGAGCCGGGGGGACCUGAAGCGCGUGACCGCAAGGAGCGCCCUAGGGUAAAACCGGUGACUGGGGUUAAGUCGUAACAAGGUA